rnacentral:tRNA from 1 species
GCCUGGGUAGCUCAGUGGUUUAGCACCCCCUUCAGCCCAGGGCGGGAUCCUGGAGACCUGGGAUCAAGUCCCACCUCAGGCU